rnacentral:rRNA from 1 species
GAUAAACGCUGGCGGCGUGCCUAACACAUGCAAGUCGAGCGGUAAGGCCCUUUUAGGGUACACGAGCGGCGGACGGGUGAGUAACGCGUAGGAAUCUCCCCCAGACUGAGGGAUAGCCCACCGAAAGGUGGAUUAAUACCGCAUACGGUCUUCGGAUUAAAGCUUCGGCGGUUUGGGAAGAGCCUGCGUAAGAUUAGCUAGUUGGUAAGGUAAUGGCUUACCAAGGCGACGAUCUUUAGCUGGUCUGAGAGGAUGAUCAGCCACACUGGAACUGAGACACGGUCCAGACUCCUACGGGAGGCAGCAGUGAGGAAUUUUCCACAAUGGGCGAAAGCCUGAUGGAGCAACGCCGCGUGCAGGAUGAAUGCCUUCGGGUUGUAAACUGCUUUUGUCUGUGACGAAUAUGACGGUAGCAGACGAAUAAGGAUCGGCUAACUCCGUGCCAGCAGCCGCCGUAA